CCAGACUCCUACGGGAGGCAGCAGUGGGGAAUAUUGCACAAUGGGCGCAAGCCUGAUGCAGCGACGCCGCGUGCGGGAUGGAGGCCUUCGGGUUGUAAACCGCUUUUGAUCGGGAGCAAGCCCUUCGGGGUGAGUGUACCUUUCGAAUAAGCACCGGCUAACUACGUGCCAGCAGCCGCGGUAAUACGUAGGGUGCAAGCGUUAUCCGGAAUUAUUGGGCGUAAAGGGCUCGUAGGCGGUUCGUCGCGUCCGGUGUGAAAGCCCAUCGCUUAACGGUGGGUCUGCGCCGGGUACGGGCGGGCUGGAGUGCGGUAGGGGAGACUGGAAUUCCCGGUGUAACGGUGGAAUGUGUAGAUAUCGGGAAGAACACCAAUGGCGAAGGCAGGUCUCUGGGCCGUCACUGACGCUGAGGAGCGAAAGCGUGGGGAGCGAACAGGAUUAGAUACCCUGGUAGUCCACGCCGUAAACGGUGGAUGCUGGAUGUGGGGCCCGUUCCACGGGUUCCGUGUCGGAGCUAACGCGUUAAGCAUCCCGCCUGGGGAGUACGGCCGCAAGGCUAAAACUCAAAGAAAUUGACGGGGGCCCGCACAAGCGGCGGAGCAUGCGGAUUAAUUCGAUGCAACGCGAAGAACCUUACCUGGGCUUGACAUGUUCCCGACAGCCGUAGAGAUAUGGCCUCCCUUCGGGGCGGGUUCACAGGUGGUGCAUGGUCGUCGUCAGCUCGUGUCGUGAGAUGUUGGGUUAAGUCCCGCAACGAGCGCAACCCUUAUCCUUAGUAGCCAGCAGGUAGAGCCGGGCACUCUAGGGAGACUGCCAGGGAUAACCUGGAGGAAGGUGGGGAUGACGUCAAAUCAUCAUGCCCCUUAUGAUUUGGGCUACACACGUGCUACAAUGGCGUAAACAAAGGGAAGCGAGACAGUGAUGUGGAGCAAAUCCCAAAAAUAACGUCCCAGUUCGGACUGUAGUCUGCAACCCGACUACACGAAGCUGGAAUCGCUAGUAAUCGCGAAUCAGAAUGUCGCGGUGAAUACGUUCCCGGGUCUUGUACACACCGCCCGUCACACCAUGGGAGUCAGCAACGCCCGAAGUCAGUGACCCAACCGAAAGGAGGGAGCUGCCGAAGGCGGGGCAGGUAACUGGGGUGAAGUCGUAACAAGGUAGCCGUAUCGGAAGGUGCGGCUG
rnacentral:rRNA from 1 species